AAUAUCUACAGGAGUCAUUUCAAGACCCUCUUCAUCAUCAAAAUCUUCUUUUGUUGUUGCACCAAUAGGGAUAUCAUACACAUGUCUAUGCGACAUUCUUGUACAACACAUCAGUUUUGUCCUAAUUUCAUGUCUUGUACAUAAUAAACUUGCUUCACUUGGUUUGCAAGAAUAAAUGGAUCAUUCUUAUACCAUAAUCUGGUUAUAUUUAUGCUUUGUAUAUUUCCAUCGAUCUUGACAUUAGCAUUUCUAGACCCA
rnacentral:lncRNA from 1 species